CUUCCGGGAGUCGGAGGGCUUGGCUUAGCAGAGGAGCUGGCGCCAGUGUUUUCAUGUGCUGUGCUGUGAGUGCUGCUGCUGAGAGCUGUGAGGGGCCAUGGACGAGCUGGAAAGCCAUGCCAUGUGAUCAAAAGAUGGUCUCCAAAACACUGAACUUGGAAUAAUGGAGAGUUGGAUCCCCCAAAAUGCAGUGACCUAUAAUGAUGUACAUGUCAACUUCACUUGGGAAGAGUGGGCUUUGCUGGAUCCUUCCCAGAAGAAUCUCUACAAAGAUGUGAUGCUAGAAACCUACAGGAACCUCAUUACCAUAGGAUACAGUUGGGAAGACCAUAAUAUUGAAGAACAUUUUCAGAGUUCUAGAAGACAUGAAAGGCAUGAAAGAAGUGAUAAUGAAGAGAAUCCUUCUGUAUAUACUCAGUGUGUUAAAGCCUUUGCAUAUGACAGUCAUAUUCAAAGGUAUGAAAGAACACAUACUAGAGAGAAACACUAUGAAUGUAAUCAGUGUGGUAAAGCCUUUGCACAUCACAGUAAUCUUCAAAGCCAUACAAGAACACAUACUGGAGAGAAACCUUAUGAAUGUAUUCAAUGUGGUAAAGCCUUUGCACAACAAAGAUAUCUUCAACGUCAUACAAGAACACAUACUGGAGAGAAACCCUAUGAAUGUAUUGAAUGUGGUAAAGCCUUUGCAAGUCAUAGUGUUCUUCGAAAGCAUAAAAGAACACAUACUGGAGAGAAACCCUAUAAAUGUAAUCAGUGUGGUAAAGCCUUUACACAACAGGGUAAUCUUCAAAUUCAUAGAAGAACACAUACUGGAGAGAAACCCUAUGAAUGCCGUCAGUGUGGUAAAGCCUUUACACAACAGGGUAAUCUUCAAACUCAUAAAAGAACACAUACUGGAGAGAAACCCUAAAAAAAUGUAAUUAGUGUGGUGAACCCUUUGCAUACAUCAGUAAUCUUCAAAAUCAUGAAAAAAUGUCAUGCUGCAGAGAAACUAAAAAUAUAAACAAUGUGGUAAUGUUUUGCACUUUAUGCAGUAGUAAAACUUGGUGUGCAAUCAAUAUGCUAAAGGCUUUGCAUAUUACAAUAGUCUUUGAGUACCUUUUAAAACACACAGGGAUUAUUAUUAUAAAGUAUUUGGUAAGAUCUUUAUCUAACACACUUGCAUUGAGUUACACAAGAGUAUUUAUUCUAUAGAAAAAAAUUGACAAUGUUAGUCAUCUAUAGAGCUUUAUGAUGUCCUUUUUAUAUUGUUUCCCCCUGAAAACUGAUGGAAGAAAUCAAUUUAAGAAUUUAUGAAGCCCUAUGUGUUGGGUAAAGGGGCCAGCCAAAGGAACACAUGGGAGCCUGAAAGCAGAGCCAGUGAAAAACAUACAUUUUGGCCUGAACCCAGAGCCAAAGAAACACACUGUAUGCCUGACCAAAUGAGCACAAAACAAGUAAAUCCCUGAGCAGGAAAAUCAACCAAUCCCUGACCACAAAACUAACCAAUCACUAAACAGUAAUUUCAGCCAAUCUCUGAGCUUGGUUGAUCUCUGGGAUUGAAAUCUGAUCAAUUCCCACCCUUAGAAUCUUCUCUCUGUAAACAUUCAGCCCCUAAGAAGCCUCAUAAAUGCCCUGUGCCUGUUCAGUUGGCAGCUGCCCUUUUCUACUCUGCUAGAGGCAGCCACUCUCCUGGAUUCCUCCCUCCUAAAUAGUUUUGGUUGAAGACCUUUCACCAGAGCAGAGCAGUAUCUCUGCUGGGAAUCUCCCUAAUGGAACAGAGCAGAGAAGCAAUGGACAUCUCUGAUGAGAAACUCCUAGUGUAGUGGAACAGUGAAACAAGGGACACUUCUUCUGGGAAACUAGAUUAGGGGAGCAAAGCAGACAUGGCAACUUUUCACCAGAGCCAGAGCAGACUGCUGCAUUUCUACAAGAGUUCCCCAUUAGUUGAGUGAGGCAGAGAAGUAACAAUUGGUCCAGGGCUGAGAAGAAAUGGAAAACUCUGCUGGGAAACUCCCUAGUGAAGCAGUAGAAACUGUGCUGGUAAACUCCCUUAGGAGAGUGGAUCAGAGCAGCAAUUGGUAUCUCCCCUCGGCAUCUCUCUUAGCAGAGUGAAGCAGAGCCCAAGUGUAAUGGAUCUCUCUCAGAGAACAGCAGUAUUAGCAUGUCCUGGAGGGAGACCAUUCCCCCACCAGAACACAGCUUCUGGUACAGCCUGACUUCCUACCAAUCAGUAUUCCUUUCUCCUCACAGCUGUAGGUAUCCAUAAUACCUUCCCUUCACAGCUGUAGGUAUAGCCUGAUUUGUGACAUUCUGGGUACCUUUGUCUUCAGAGCUGUAGGUAUCCAGGAUAUCUUCCCUCUACAGCUUCAGGUAUAGCCUGACUUCCCAACAGCCAGGAUACCUUUCUCCACACAGUUGUAGAUAUCCAGGAUUCCUUUUGUUCACAGCUGUGGGUAUAGCCUGACUUCUUAACAGUCAGGAUAUUUUCCCUCACAGCUGUAGAUAUCCAGGGUACUUUCCUUUCACAGCUGUAGGUACAGCCAGACUUCCAACAGUCAUGGUACCUUUCUCUCCAGAGCUGGAACUCUUGUACUAUAAAUUUAAAUGUUAAUGUAACUCUUUUAGAUUUUAUACUUCCUUUAAUUACAUGAAAUAAUUAAUGCAGGACUAAAACUAUGGAUUGGUAUGAGUUCCUUUUCUGUUAUUGUGAUAUAAUAUGUAUGUCAACUUAUAAGAGAGUUAAAUUUGACUCUUGGUUCCAGAGGGAUACCAAUUGGCAUGGCAACAAAUGCCAGACAUAGCAGCUAAAGCAGGAGGCUAAGAAUUUACAUCCUUAACCUGCAGCAUGAAGUAGAGAGUGGGAACUGGAAAUGGUGUAUGAUGCAAAUUCUCAAAGUCUACCCCUACUGACAUAUUUCCCCCAGCAGGGCAGCAUUUCCUAAAUCUUCCCAAAUGAUACCACCAACUUACAAGGGUUGAUUUCUCUGACUUCAAGUCCACAUGUUUGUUUUCUGUUACAUGAUCCAAUUCAUGAUUAAGAAAAAACUCUGUAAGUAAACUGUUAGAUACCUCAACACCUGUGUUAUAGGAAUAAAUGCUUAGAAGAGAAAAACUUUUAUCAGUGAAAAAUUGUUUAAAGAGUUGUUUUAAUUUUAAUUAUUUGAUAUGUUGUGUGUUUGUGUAUGUAUGUGAAUGUGCAUACUGGUUCCUGAGAAUGUUUAGACCCUUGGAUCUCUUUUAGGAUGAAUUACAGGAAGUUGUCAAAAAUUAGUACUUGGUCCCGUGAAUGAACUUUCUUAACUGUCCAGCCAUGUCUCUAGCCCUGUAAAUAUUUUAAAGCCUAUUUAUAUAAUUUUGAAAUUGGGAAAUAGGGACAAACUCAUACAAGAGAAAAACCCUAUUUAUGUAAACCAUUUGGUAAAAACUUUAGACAUCAAAUUUGUCUUAAGAUUAGGGAAAAAUUGUUUUAUUUCUUUUUCAUUGUAUCCUUAAAAGUAGUAAAUUACUUACCUUGUCCACUCAAACUGAUGGUGGUGAUCCCUGCAUUGUAGUUUCUAGUUUGAAAAAUGUGAGGUAGAUACUAAAGUGUGCUAUAUGUGUGGCAAAUCCAUUUAGUGAAGUUUAUUUUGUGGUCCUUAUAUUUCUUCUGUGGCUUUUGUUGAUCUUCUAUUGUGCUUUUAUUUAGUGAUGGGUAUUUUUCUGCUAUGAUGUAUAGAACAGGAUCCCCAUCAUCUAAAUGUUCCAUUGUUUAUUUAAAUAUCACACAGUGUGUGAUCAUAAUUUUUAAGUAACGGUAUCUGUGAAAGGAUGGUAGGUUGUUCUUCCUGGUUUUGUUUUUCAUAUUUUUACAAAUUCCCUUGAGAUUUUGUUGUUUCUUAUUCAGCCUGGCUUGGAUAUCAAUAAUGAUUCAAGGAUAAAUUUGAACUCAUGAUCCUCAUGUGUCCGCCUCCUAAGUACAAGUCCAAGAGUAGAUGAUGUAUUCCCAAUAUUGCUGUUUUGUCAACACUAUUGAAUAAUGUUAAUGUUAAAGUGCUUGAUAGAGGAGAAUAUAAUAAACAUUAAACACCUCAUGUGUA